CCCUUAGAUGUCCUGGGCCGCACGCGCGCUACACUGACGGAGGCAGCGAGCUUACCCCUUUGCCGAAAGGCAUGGGAAAUCUUUUGAAUCUCCGUCGUGCUGGGGAUAGAUCAUUGCAAUUAUUGAUCUUGAACGAGGAAUUCCUAGUAAGCGCAAGUCAUCAACUUGCGUUGAUUACGUCCCUGCCCUUUGUACACACCGCCCGUCGCACCUACCGAUUGGAUGGUCCGGUGAAGCCUCGGGAUUGUGGUUCUUGCCGCUUUAUUGUGGCGUGACCGCGAGAACUUGUCUAAACCUUAUCAUCUAGAGGAAGGUGAAGUCGUAACA
rnacentral:rRNA from 1 species